GACGAACGCUGGCGGUGUGCUUAACACAUGCAAGUCGAACGGUAAGGCCCUUCCGGGGGUACACGCGCGGCUAACGGGCGAGUAACACGCGAGUAACCUGCCCUCACCUCAGGGAUAACAGUCGGAAACGGUUGCUAAUACUGGAUAUGAGCUUGCAAGGCAUCCUGGGGGUUGGAAAGAUUUUUUCGGCUGGGGAUGGACUCGGGGCCUCUCAGCUUGUUGGUGAGGUAGUGGCUCUCCAAGGCUUCGACGGGUAGCCGGCCUGAGAGGGCGACCGGCCACAUUGGGGAUGGGAUACGGCCCAAACUCCUACGGGGGGCAGCAGGGGGGAAUAAUGCACAAAUGGCGGGAGGCUGAAUCAGCAACGGCGGGGGCGGGAUGACGGCCUUCGGGUUUGAAACCGCUUUCAAUUGGGGCGGAGCUGUUAGUGACGGUAGCAGGAGAAGAAGCACCGGCUAACUACGUG
rnacentral:rRNA from 1 species